GGCUGGAGAGAUAACAUGGAGGUAAGGCAUUUGUCUUGUAUGCAGAAGGUUGGUGGUUCGAAUCCCGGCAUCCCAUAUGGUCCUCCGAGCCUGCCAGGGGUGAUUUCUGAGCAUAGA